GGAUUAGAUACCCUGGUAGUCCACGCCGUAAACGAUGUCUACUAGCCGUUGGGACUCUUGAAGUCUUAGUGGCGCAGCUAACGCACUAAGUAGACCGCCUGGGGAGUACGGCCGCAAGGUUAAAACUCAAAUGAAUUGACGGGGGCCCGCACAAGCGGUGGAGCAUGUGGUUUAAUUCGACGCAACGCGAAGAACCUUACCUGGCCUUGACAUGCAGAGAACUUUCCAGAGAUGGAUUGGUGCCUUCGGGAACUCUGACACAGGUGCUGCAUGGCCGUCGUCAGCUCGUGCCG
rnacentral:rRNA from 1 species